AUUUAUCGACCCCGAAAGGAUGAAAGGCAAAGUCGACCUCGGCGGAAUUUGAACUCACAACGUAAAGACACGAAAUACCGCAAAGCAUUGCGCCCGGCGUGCUAACGUUUCUGCCGUAUCGAAUACACAGACACUGUUUUUGAAGUUGGUUAAUUUGCAUACGGUGUGCUAAAAUAGUUUUGUCCAUGACUUUUGGGCAAAUUUUUCCUUAACGACGGAAGUGUAGAAUAAGUUCCCGCCUCUGAAUCAUUCAGGAAGUUCUUCAAAUUACACUCCGACGUCAUUCCUUGGUCAUUUUUUCAUUAGGUGUGUCAGUCAGAAAGUUUCAGACACAAUGGACCAGCAAACUCGGGGCGUUGGCUGCUAUAACACCACAGCUGAAAAAGGUGUCCUUCAUCGAGUACCUGACAAGAGUACUGAGAAACUACAAUAAAGAAAAUGUUUCGCCAGGAACAACACUUUUUACUGAUAAAGGGGCAAGCUAUUGUAUUGUCCGCCAACUUGGAUGUAUUCACCGAAUGGCGAAUCAGGCCGAGAAUUUCCUUGAUCCAAAUCCCGAGGUAUACACUAACCAUAUUAGUUUCACAUGGGGCGCUUAAAUCAAAAUCCCACCCAUGGAAAGUCUCAUGAAAUACAUAUGUGGUUCGACGGAGGAUAUGAAAAUGGGCGGAGGUGAAAGAAAAUACGCACACUGCCCGUUUUCGGCGUAACAAAAACCCUAACCCUAACCACAGGGUCUUUACUUUCGCCUGAAAAUAGAAGCGUGUCGACAAAGCUGUGAACCAUAGGUUUAUCCGCCCUAAAUUCUAACGAUACAGUAUUUUAAACCGAAUGUGCUCUCAUAUACCAGAUUAUGGAUCAGAUUAUGGUGUGCUGAUUGAGUUUGCCGCAAGAAAAUUUCAGUGCGAACAUAGAUGCAGUUUCUCUCCAUGAAAAAUUCUCUCUCGUUCAUAUGAGAUGGCGAACAAGGAAGUUCUCUGCAUUGCGGAUUUGAUUUUGUCUACUUUCGGGCAGUCAAGAUAAUUUCUUUAAAAAGGUCAACAAGCUAACAAAUUAGAAUGAAUUCUAAUUCUGACUUUCUG